rnacentral:lncRNA from 1 species
AUGGCUCAAGUCAUCGUCAAUAUCAAUCAUCCAUUUUGGUGGAUUAUGGUUUACACCUUAUCAACACCCAAGUUCCAUUGAUAUUGAGGAUAUGCGAGAACGGAUCAACCGCGAAUCACGAGUUUGUUGUAAGUCACGAGCAUGGAGUCUCGGUUAAGAACCACCCAACGGGAGUGUACUAUGGUUAAACCUGACAAUCAU